UACGUAGGGGGCAAGCGUUGUCCGGAUUUAUUGGGCGUAAAGAGCGUGUAGGCGGCCAAGCAGGUCCGCUGUGAAAACUCGAGGCUCAACCUCGAGACGUCGGUGGAAACCGUUUGGCUAGAGUCCGGAAGAGGAGAGUGGAAUUCCCGGUGUAGCGGUGAAAUGCGCAGAUAUCGGGAAGAACACCCGUGGCGAAGGCGGGUCUCUGGGCAGUAACUGACGCUGAGGAGCGAAAGCGUGGGGAGCGAACAGG
rnacentral:rRNA from 1 species